UUGCAGCCUAUUAAUCUGACUGGUCUUGCUGCAGUGCAUUUCUGGCGCGCAAAGGCUGCAGACAUGAACUCUUUGGUUGUGUAUGACCUCAGCUGUGAGGUGCUGAGUUCUUCAAGGGACCACUGAGACAUUU